rnacentral:tRNA from 1 species
UCCGGGGUAGCUCAACGGUAGAGCGGCUCCCUGUUAAGGAGAUGGUUGUCGGUUCGAAUCCGACCCCCGGAGCCA